CUGUUGGUGAGCUGCAUUACUACCCAGAUUUGUAGCAGGAUGAUUUCUGGGCUUCAAACCUAUUACAUGGAGACACCUGGAGAACUGAGCUUGCUGAGGGACACAGAUGAACAAGUCCAAGCAAGUCCAGGUCAAGGGUCGCGAAAUCCUUUGGCUGAAAGACACAGAUGGACAAGGCCAGGGGCAAUGAGAGAGAGAUAAGCCAGAGCUUAAUGGCCAGGAAGCAGUCUUUUGUGUGGGCCUAUCUCGAGGGACAUAGCCAUCUCAGGGUGUGCUGCACGUGACUGUUACCCAAGCACCCAGGAAUGCCAUGUUGGCAGAAGAAGAAGGAUAAGAAGGGAUGAACAACCAUGAGACCAGAGUUUUCUGACAGCAGAUUCCUCACGAAGAAGAGGUUUCUGACAACAGAUUCCUCACAACCUGAGACCUGCAUGCUGAAGAAGAACACGAAGGUUUCUGACAUGAGAAGCCUCAUGACCUCCCUGUCCCUCCUGGACUUGCUCUGCACUCUACCUGGUUGCUGCCUAAGGCUGGCCACUCUGCUGCUGCUCUCCUCCCCAUGAAGGUGUCUUCCAUCAGAUCCCUCAGUACAGAAUGCCUGUGUGCUGACGGACUUUCCAAGGCCUGCUACCGGAGACCUGCUGCUUCCUCCUGGACUUCUUCCUGGACCUACCCGAUACCUGCACCUUCUUGUUGCCCAAGACUGGCCAUGCUGCUGCUGCUCUCCCCCUGUGCUUUUGCCUCAGAUCAUCGGACCGUUGUGCAACGGGACUGCUGUUGUAUCCUGGUGGUGACUAUCCCCGCUUUACGCAAUUCUUGCCUCUUUCCUAUCUUUUCUAUUGCCUGCCUUCUCUUCCCC
ensembl:lncRNA